UACAGAGGUCUCAAGCGUUGUUCGGAUUCAUUGGGCGUAAAGGGUGCGUAGGCGGCGCGGUAAGUCGGGUGUGAAAUCUCGGAGCUUAACUCCGAAACUGCAUUCGAUACUGCCGUGCUUUGAGGACUGGAGAGGAGACUGGAAUUUACGGUGUAGCGGUGAAAUGCGUAGAUAUCGUAAGGAAGACCAGUGGCGAAAGGCGGGGUCUCUGGACAACAACUGACGCUGAUGCGCGAAAGCCAGGGGAGCAAACGGG
rnacentral:rRNA from 1 species